rnacentral:misc_RNA from 1 species
AGGCACCCCCGGAAUACCAACCCCCACCCCCAGCGCCUCAGUACAACGACCCCGUCUACCCUCCCCCUCAAUACCAGAACAUAACCAACGCACCCCCACCUACCACUCAUGAGUAUAGAUGAAAAUACGCUAUGAAAUUGUUGGAUGUUUUUUCCUUUGGCAAACAUUGUCCUUUUAUAACAUUAUCAUGAAUAAGAUAUGUUUGAAAAAUUAUUUACUGUAAUGUACUAUAGCAUAUACAAAUAUUGUUGUGUUCUCAGAUUUGAUACAUAUUUACGACUGUACGUUGUCUUCCAUAAAUCCAAACUGUUCAUCUCAAUGCAAUGUUUUUUAUCAUUUGCAAAAACAAAAAUACUGCGUGAAAAUGUUAUGAAAUAUUUAAAUGCUCUCUCUCUCUUUCUCUCUCAGUGGAAUGAAACUUUUUCCGAAUGUUUAUAUUGUUUUAUGGUUGCGACGAAUGUCUAACGUUGAGUUUUUGUUAUUAUAAUAAACACUACUUACUGAG